rnacentral:lncRNA from 1 species
UACUGACACAGGUAGACAUGAUGAAACCCCAAUUUGUUGGAAUCCUGAUCUGCACACUGCUGGGGGCUGCCUUGGGUAAGAAAGAGGCCAAUUCACCUCUCAUAUGGCCUGUCUUACCCUCUGCCAGCAACUCCCCAGAGAGCCCCAGGUCCAGUGCCUCUUUUCUCCUGCCUCUCCUGCCAGGAAACCGCAUGCGGUGCUACAACUGUGGUGGAGGCCCCAGCAACUCCUGCAAAGGGACCGUGACCAUCUGUGGUGAGGGUGAACGUUGUGGCUUCUUGGAGCGUAAACCCCAACCAGGCCUGGGACAGAGCAAACUGUCUGAGAACCGUGAGUCCUCAGUUUCUCCCUCUACCCUCAGCCCUUCCCUGCCUUUAGGCCCCACUUUAUUCCUCUGGCUUCCAGAACCUUCCAGGCUCCGUCUGGCUCUGGGCAGAUGGUGCCACUGUUGGAGAAGAGCAGUCUGUACCCUUCUGGUUCCUGGCACUGAGCACCUGAGCAUCCCACAGUUCUUGGGCUUUUACCUCCCUCCUCUUUAUUCUCCAGAAAGAAUCAUAGGCCCAUUUACUCAGAAAUUCGUCCCUUAAGUCAGGGGCCAACUUUCAAGCACUGGCUAAGAGGUAUAUUGUGUAUGUUUUAAUAUUUUAAUUUGAAAUAAUUUUGGAUUGACAGAAUGUUUGCAAAAGUAGUACAGGAAGUUCGUGUAUAUCCUUCACUCAACUUUCCUUAAUGCUAACAUAUCACAUAACUGUAGCACAAUUAUCAAAAUCAGAAAAUCACAUUGGUAUAAUAUGACUAGCUAAUUUAGGCUUUUUGAUUUAGCCAGUUGUUCCACUCAUGUCCUUUAUCUGGUCCUGGACACAAAUCAGGGUCCCACAUUGCAUUUCAUUCUCACGUCUUUUUACAUUCUCCAGCCUGUGCAAAUGCUCAGUCUUUCUUUGUCUUUCAUGACUUUGAUAUUUUUGAAAAGCCCUGAUAGAUCACUUUGUUUUUAUGUAAUUUUAUGAUAGGUUGUUUUGUAGAUUGCUCUCAAUUUGGAUUUGUCUAUUUACUUGUUUUUUCCUCUUUUUUUUUUUUUUUUUUUUUUUUUUUUUUUUUUUUUUUUUUUUUUUUUUUUUUUUUUUUUUUUUUUGUAGUACUGAUGAUUGAACUCAGGAUGCUCUACUACUGAGCUAUCCUAAGCACUUUUUAUUUUUUUAUUUUGAGAAGGGUCUUGCUAAAUUCCCCAGGCUAGCCUUGAUCUUGUGAUCCUCCUGCCUCAGCCUCUCAAAUUGCUGGGAUGACAGGCAAGUGCUACCACAACUGGUUUAACUUCUAUUUUCUUUCACAUGAUAAGAUUGAGGUCAUGUAUUUCAGGCAGGAAUACCAUAGAAGUGAUGUUGUUCCCUUAUCAGCACACCAGAGCAGCAGUUAACAAUGUUAAUGUGUUAACUUUGAUCACUUGGUUUCAGGGAGGUGUUUUUUGAGAGGGCAGAGAAUUCCCUUGGGCUCCUUGAAAUCACAUCUGCUCUGCCCCAGAAGGCAAAUCCUGAAGCCAAGAGUCCAACACCCCGGUUUCAUUCUUUCUCUCAGCUUCAGUGACCCUGAGUCAUCACCAUCCUGCCUGUGUGGCCACCCAUCAUUGCAACCAAGUGGAAACAGAAUUGGUGGGAGACGUGACUUACACAACUCACAGGAACUGCUGCUUUGGAGACCUAUGCAACAGUGCUGUGGCAAGCACCGUGGCCCCAGCAUGCAUCUUGGUUGCAGCAGCCACCACCCUGGUCUGGCUUUUGCCAGGACUAUGGAGCGGGUAGUGGGAAUGAGGGUAGGCAAGGGAGCAAGGAAACAAGGGAGCUCUGAACAUCUAAGGUGAGAAAGUAAGCACUUCUUUGUGAGCCAUUAAAAUCUAGA